GACGAACGCUGGCGGCGUGCUUAACACAUGCAAGUCGAACGAAGAGCGACGGAAGCUUGCUUCUAUCAAUCUUAGUGGCGAACGGGUGAGUAACGCGUAAUCAACCUGCCCUUCAGAGGGGGACAACAGUUGGAAACGACUGCUAAUACCGCAUACGAUCUAAUCUCGGCAUCGAGGAUGGAUGAAAGGUGGCCUCUACAUGUAAGCUAUCACUGAAGGAGGGGAUUGCGUCUGAUUAGCUAGUUGGAGGGGUAACGGCCCACCAAGGCGAUGAUCAGUAGCCGGUCUGAGAGGAUGAACGGCCACAUUGGGACUGAGACACGGCCCAGACUCCUACGGGAGGCAGCAGUGGGGAAUCUUCCGCAAUGGACGAAAGUCUGACGGAGCAACGCCGCGUGAGUGCUGACGGCCUUCGGGUUGUAAAGCUCUGUUAAUCGGGACGAAAGGCCUUCUUGCGAAUAGUGAGAAGGAUUGACGGUACCGGAAUAGAAAGCCACGGCUAACUACGUG
rnacentral:rRNA from 1 species